CGCUCAGAGCCGGUGUGUGGGAGCGUCGCUGGGAGAAAGGAGCGGACAGAAUUCACAAAUCUCGGAUAGAGGUACUCAUGGAGUUCCUGACUCAAUAGACUUGCCAACUGCUGGCUGGGACGAUGGUUGGUCAGCCGGAAAGACACAGUCAGGGAGGUCGGAGUCUUCAAUCAAUCCUGCUGCCAGGUACAAUGGUGAUCCUGUAAGAGACCAGUGCGGAAUGGGAUGUUAUAAAUCUCAGCUGAGGCUUGCGGCCUACCAUUACCUGGGAGUCACUAAGGGAGAGAAUCUGAGAGAGAGCAGCACAAAGCGGGAGAAUAUAAAUCAGCAGCGAGGGUCAAGGCCGACUGGGACUUGGAUCUGGAGAAACAGCAGAGCAGGAGGCUGGAAAUCAGCACCGAGUCACAGAGGGAGUGACCGUGGGAGGGAGCAACUUGGAGCAGGAGCUUGAGGCUGACUCACACCUGGGAGAAUAUAAAUCAGCACUGAGGAUCGAGGCCUCGCUGUACCUGGGAGUGACAGAGACGGUGACCCUUUACUCAGGAAAGUCCUGACUCAAUAGCCUUCCCAGCUGCUGGGUGGAUUGUCCAUCACCACAUUGAACGCAGUUGGUCUGCCAGAGAGAGACAAAGGGCAGGGAGAUCUGGAGCCUUCAAUAAAUCCUGUAGUGAGGUAUUCCUGAUGUCCCUGACUCAGCACAAUUCCCAAUUCCUGUCUCGUCCAUCACCACAUUGAAGACAGUUGGUCAGCCAGAGAGAGAUGGAGAGGGAGAUCUGGAGCCUUCAGUAAAUCCUGCAGCCGGUACUCAGGAAGUUCCUGACUCAAUAGACUUCCCAACUGCUGUGUGUCUCAUCCAUCACCUCAUUGAAGAUGGUCGGUCAGCCAGAGAGACAAAGGGCAGGGAG